UUUCGGGGAGCUGUAUGUAAGCUUUGAUCCGAAAAUUUCCGAAUGGGGAAACCCACCACUUUAUGUGGUACUUUAAACUGAAUACAUAGGUUUAAAGAGCGAACCCGGAGAACUGAAACAUCUAAGUAACCGGAGGAAAAGAAAUCAAUUGAGAUUCCGUUAGUAGUGGCGAGCGAACGCGGAGUAGGCCAGUAGUUUUGUUAGAAAAAUUUGAAUAGUUUGGAAAUGCUAACCAUAGAGGGUGAUAGUCCCGUAUGAGUAAUGUCUAACAAAAUUCUUGAGUAAAGCGGGACACGAGAAAUCCUGCUCGAAUAUAGGGGGACCACCCUCUAAGCCUAAAUACUCUUCAGUGACCGAUAGUGAACUAGUACCGUGAGGGAAAGGUGAAAAGAACCCCUAUUAGGGGAGUGAAAUAGAACCUGAAACUGCAUGCCUACAAUCAGUCCGAGCCCUUUUUAGGGUGAGGGCGUACCUUUUGUAUAAUGGGUCAGUGACUUAAUUUAUUAAGCAAGCUUAAGCCAUCUAGGUGUAGGCGCAGCGAAAGCAAGUCUUAAUAGGGCGAUUAGUUUAAUGAAUUAGACCCGAAAACGAAUGAGCUUACCAUGAGCAGGUUGAAAGUUGGGUAACACCAACCGGAGGACCGAACCAGUUGACGUUGAAAAGUCUUUGGAUGACUUGUGGUAAGGGGUGAAAGGCCAACCAAAUUCGUAGAUAGCUGGUUUUCCGCGAAAACUAUUUAGGUAGUGCGUCGAAUAAAUAGAUGUUUAGAGGUAGAGCACUAAAUGGGCUAGGGGGAAGAGAUUCUUACCAAACCUAAUAAAACUCCGAAUGCUAGACAUUGUUCUUCGGCAGACAGACUGUGGGUGCUAAGGUCCAUGGUCGAGAGGGAAAGAGCCCAGACCACCAGAUAAGGUCCCAAAAUCAUGAUUAAGUGUGAAAGGAUGUGGAAAUUCCUUAACAGCCGGGAGGUUGGCUUAGAAGCAGCCAUCCUUUAAAGAUAGCGUAACAGCUCACCGGUCUAAUAGAGUUUCUGCGCCGAAGAUGUAACGGGGCUAAAAUCAUGUACCGAAUCUGUGGCUUUGCAAAGUUUUCGAACUUUGUAAGGGGUAGCGGAACGUUCUGUAAGCCUGCGAAGGGAUACCCGUGAGGGAUCCUGGAGGUAUCAGAAGUGCGAAUGCUGACAUAAGUAACGAUAAACGAAGUGAAAAACUUCGUCGCCGAAAAUCUAAGGGUUUCUAUGCAAGGUUAAUCCGCGUAGAGUUAGUCGGCACCUAAGGCGAGGGCGAAAGCCGUAGUCGAUGGAAACAAGGUUAAUAUUCCUUGACCUGAUGGUAGUGACGGAUUUCGUAAGUUGUGAGUUCUUAAUGGAUUGAACUUGCCGCGAAGAGGUCCCAAGAAAUAGCUCCAUCAUGAAGACCGUACCCGAAACCGACACAGGUAGAUUAAUAGAGUAUAUUUAGGCGCUUGAGAGAAUGAUGUUGAAGGAACUCGGCAAAAUGCUUCCGUAACUUCGGGAUAAGGAAGACCCUUUUGUAGGCAACUAUAGAAGGGUGGCACAAGCCAGGGAGAAGCGACUGUUUAUCAAAAACACAGGGCUCUGCUAACACGUAAGUGGAUGUAUAGGGUCUGACGCCUGCCCGGUGCUGGAAGGUUAAUGCGGUUGGUGCAAGCUAACUUCUGAAGCCCCAGUAAACGGCGGCCGUAACUAUAACGGUCCUAAGGUAGCGAAAUUCCUUGUCGGGUAAGUUCCGACCUGCAUGAAUGGCGUAACGAUUUCUCCGCUGUCUCCAACAUCAACUCAGUGAAAUUGAAUUCUCCGUGAAGAUGCGGAGUUCGCGUAGUUAGACGGAAAGACCCCGUGCACCUUUACUGCAACUUUACAUUGGUGUUAGGAAAAACAUAUUUAGCAUAGGAGGGAGACUUUGAAGCAAAGGCGUCAGCUUUUGUG
rnacentral:rRNA from 1 species